rnacentral:rRNA from 1 species
GUAGGGAAUCUUCGGCAAUGGGGGCAACCCUGACCGAGCAACGCCGCGUGAGUGAAGAAGGUUUUCGGAUCGUAAAGCUCUGUUGUAAGUCAAGAACGGGUGUGAGAGUGGAAAGUUCACACUGUGACGGUAGCUUACCAGAAAGGGACGGCUAACUACGUGCCAGCAGCCGCGGUAAUACGUAGGUCCCGAGCGUUGUCCGGAUUUAUUGGGCGUAAAGCGAGCGCAGGCGGUUUGAUAAGUCUGAAGUUAAAGGCUGUGGCUCAACCAUAGUUCGCUUUGGAAACUGUCAAACUUGAGUGCAGAAGGGGAGAGUGGAAUUCCAUGUGUAGCGGUGAAAUGCGUAGAUAUAUGGAGGAACACCGGUGGCGAAAGCGGCUCUCUGGUCUGUAACUGACGCUGAGGCUCGAAAGCGUGGGGGAGCGAACAGGAUUAGA